GCCUCCGUGGUCUAGUGGUGAGAGCGUUAGGCUUUCGAUCUGGAGGUCCGGGUUCGAUUCCCGACGGGGACA
rnacentral:tRNA from 1 species